AUACAUAUAUAUGGCUGAUUAAACAUUUACUGUCCUCAUGUGAUUAUAGCACGUGAUCAUUACUAAAAAGAUUCUAAUAAUUUCUUUGUUCACAGGAGUAGAAUUCGGUAAAUGUAUAACACAACAGUAAUAUUACGAAGAAGCUACAGGAACACAUUCUUAGUAUCAAAAAUGUGUAGCGCAAUACAAAAUAAUUCUGUAGAAUUUUCUAUAAAAAAAAAAUUGAUAGAUUCUUUAAAUCCAUCUUAUAUUGAAAUUAUAAAUGAGUCUUAUAUGCACAAUGUUCCUAAAGGAUCUGAAACGCACUUUAAAGUAAUUGCUGUUUCUGACAAGUUCAAAGAUAUACCAUUAAUUAAGCGCCACCGAAUGAUAAAUAAGUUAUUACAAUCAGAGUUAGAAGGUAGCGUGCAUGCAUUAUCAAUUAUAGCCAAAACACCUGAUCAAUGGAAAGAGAAAAGUACUGUAACUCCAAGUCCAACUUGUAGAGGGGGUUUUGGAAAAUGAACUUUUAAAGUUUAAAGAUCGCAUAUUUAUAUCAGAAAGGAUAUCUGAUUAUACCAAUAUUCGAACUUCAAAUCGCGCACACGUAAUAUCUCCGUAUUAGAUGUGUUUCCUGAGGUUCUAAUUUAUGUGAUAAUUGUAUGCAAUUAAGGAAGUUAAAAUAAGAUAAAUUGAAAUAAAGUAUAUCAGCCAUGGAUUGUUCUGCUAUUGCUUCUUCUGCCCUAUCAUGCAUCUACAAAAUAUAAACGAUUCGUGAAAAAUUGUUCUGAUAAACGUAAACCCUAAUUUUCAUUGUUUUAUUUUGUUUUUAUCAAUAUAGUACAUACCCCUCUAAACGUAAUAUCUCCAGGAGGACAUUUAAAAUUGGGUCCAAAAUUAACAGAAACCGUAGCACUUUUAUGAAUAGAAACUGUGGGAUAGUAAGCUCCUUUAUUGAUAUCGAUGAAUGCUUCACCUUGAUUUACUCCAUUUUUGUAAAAUAUAAUUUUGCUUCCUUCUAAUGGUUUGAGAGCCUUAAGUGCUUCAGGUACUUGAUCUUUUUCUUCAUAAUACAGAUGACUUUUAAAUUUUACUAAGGGCUAAUUUAUAAUCAAUUAAUUUAUAAAACGCGUAUGAAAAUAUAAUAAACAAACUUACAUUUAGUCCUUACCCGAUCCUUGUAGGUGUUUGGUAAAUGUGAAGCAUCGUGUGUAUCAGGUAAAAUUACCAGAAAUCCUAAUGUAUCUCCUUCUCCAUAACCAUUACUGUAAUGUUUACCUUUACUUUCAUGAAAUCGUGUACCUUUUCUAUCAAUAAUUAUAAUUAUGUAUUUAUUUUUUGAAUAACAAAUACCAUUCUAUA